rnacentral:rRNA from 1 species
AGAGUUUGAUCAUGGCUCAGGAUGAACGCUAGCUACAGGCUUAACACAUGCAAGUCGAGGGGCAGCAUGUUGGUUGCUUGCAACCAACGAUGGCGACCGGCGCACGGGUGAGUAACGCGUAUCCAACCUACCCUUGUCCAUCGGAUAACCCGUCGAAAGGCGGCCUAACACGAUAUGCGGUUCACAGCAGGCAUCUAACGUGAACGAAAUGUGAAGGAGAAGGAUGGGGAUGCGUCUGAUUAGCUUGUUGGCGGGGUAACGGCCCACAAGGCUACGAUCAGGUAGGGGUUCUGAGAGGAACGGUCCCCACAUUGGAACUGAGACACGGUCCAAACUCCGUACGGGAGGCA